GGUAAAAUGGCUGAAGUUUAGGCGGUAAAUUAGUAAAUUUAUUAAUGAAUAUGAUUCUUUUACUA
rnacentral:tRNA from 2 species